rnacentral:misc_RNA from 1 species
UCGUAACAAGGUUUCCGUAGGUGAACCUGCGGAAGGAUCAUUAAAAUAAUACUUACACUUUGCAUUUGCGAACAAAAAAAUAAAUCUUUUAUUCGAAUUUCUUAAUAUCAAAACUUUCAACAACGGAUCUCUUGGUUCUCGCAUCGAUGAAGAACGCAGCGAAUUGCGAUACGUAGUAUGACUUGCAGACGUGAAUCAUCGAAUCUUUGAACGCACAUUGCGCCUCGAGGCAUUCCUCGAGGCAUGCCUGUUUGAGCGUCGCAUCCCCUCUAACCCCCGGUUAGGCGUUGCUCCGAAAUAUCAACCGCGCUGUCAAACACGUUUACAGCACGACAUUUCGCCCUCAAAUCAGGUAGGACUACCCGCUGAACUUAAGCAUAUCA